rnacentral:sRNA from 1 species
GAACAUCGACCCCACCGGUGACUCGACGCCCGACGCGGUCGUGAAGACCAUCGCCGGCGGAGUCGGCAACAA